rnacentral:rRNA from 1 species
AUUGAACGCUGGCGGCAUGCCUUACACAUGCAAGUCGAACGGCAGCGGGGACUUCGGUCCGCCGGCGAGUGGCGAACGGGUGAGUAAUGCAUCGGAACGUACCCGGAAGUGGGGGAUAACGUAGCGAAAGUUACGCUAAUACCGCAUAUUCUGUGAGCAGGAAAGAGGGGGAUCUUCGGACCUCUUGCUUUCGGAGCGGCCGAUGUCAGAUUAGCUAGUUGGUGAGGUAAAGGCUCACCAAGGCGACGAUCUGUAGCGGGUCUGAGAGGAUGAUCACCCACACUGGAACUGAGACACGGUCCAGACUCCUACGCGAGGCAGCAGUGGGGAAUUUUGGACAAUGGGCUCAAGCCUGAUCCAGCCAUGCCGCGUGAGUGAAGAAGGCCUUCGGGUUGUAAAGCUCUUUCGGCCGGGAAGAAAUCGCAUGGAUUAAUACUCUGUGCGGAUGACGGUACCGGCAUAAGAAGCACCGGCUAACUACGUGCCAGCCGCCGCCGUAA